AUGGUUGUCGUCAGCUCGUGUCGUGAGAUGUUGGGUUAAGUCCCGCAACGAGCGCAACCCUCGCCUCUAGUUGCCAGCAUUCGGUUGGGCACUCUAGAGGGACUGCCGGCGACAAGUCGGAGGAAGUGGGGAUGACGUCAAAUCAUCAUGCCCCUUAUGACCUGGGCUACACACGUGCUACAAUGGGCGGUACAAAGGGUCGCGAACCCGCGAGGGGGAGCCAAUCCCAAAAAAGCCGCUCUCAGUUCGGAUUGCAGGCUGCAACUCGCCUGCAUGAAGCCGGAAUCGCUAGUAAUCGCGGAUCAGCAUGCCGCGGUGAAUACGUUCCCGGGCCUU
rnacentral:rRNA from 1 species